UUGUCUCUAGUUGCUACGAAAGGGCACUCUAGAGAGACUGCCGGUGACAAACCGGAGGAAGGUGGGGAUGACGUCAAGUCCUCAUGGCCCUUAUGGGUAGGGCUUCACACGUCAUACAAUGGUGCAUACAGAGGGUUGCCAAGCCGCGAGGUGGAGCUAAUCCCAGAAAAUGCAUCGUAGUCCGGAUCGUAGUCUGCAACUCGACUACGUGAAGCUGGAAUCGCUAGUAAUCGCGGAUCAGCAUGCCG
rnacentral:rRNA from 1 species